CAAAAACCUAUCCAGAUCCAUAUAAAAGUACAUCAUGUAUGUUUUGUGGUUUUGUACUCAAAAGUACAUCAUGUAUGUUUUGUGGUGGUGUGUGGUGGGGUGUGGAGGUGGUGUAGUGGGGUGUGGAGGUGGUGUAGUGGGGUGUGGAGGUGGUGUAGUGGGGUGUAGUGGUGUGUGGAGGUGUGUAGUGGGGUGUAGUGGUGUGUGGAGGUGUGUAGUGGUGUGUGGAGGUGGGGUGUGGAGGUGGUGUAGUGGUGUGUGGAGGUGUGUGGAGGUGGUGUAGUGGGGUGUGGAGGCGUGUGGAGGUGUUGUAGUGGGGUGUGGAGGUGGUGUAGUGGUGUGUGGAGGCGUGUGGAGGGGUGUGGAGGUGGUGUAGUGGUGUGUGGAGGUGGUGUAGUGGUGUGUGGAGGUGUGUGGAGGUGUGUAGUGGUGUGUGGAGGUGGUGUAGUGGUGUGUGGAGGUGUGUAGUGGGGUGUGGAGGUGGUGUAGUGGGGUGUGGAGGUGGUGUAGUGGUGUGUGGAGGUGGUGUAGUGGUGUGUGGAGGUGUGUGGUGGGGUGUGGAGGUGGUGUAGUGGUGUGUGGAGGUGUGUAGUGGUGUGUGGAGGUGGUGCAGUGGUGUGUGGAGGCGUGUGGAGGUGGUGUAGUGGUGUGUGGAGGUGGUGUAGUGGUUUGUGGAGGCGUGUGGAGGUGGUGUAGUGGUGUGUGGAGGUGUGUAGUGGUGUGUGGAGGCGUGUAGUGGUGUGUGGAGGUGGUGUAGUGGGGUGUGGAGGUGGUGUAGUGGUGUGUGGAGGUGUGUGGAGGUGGUGUAGUGGGGUGUGGAGGCGUGUGGAGGUGUUGUAGUGGGGUGUGGAGGUGUUGUAGUGGGGUGUGGAGGUGGUGUAGUGGUGUGUGGAGGCGUGUGGAGGGGUGUGGAGGUGGUGUAGUGGUGUGUGGAGGUGGUGUAGUGGUGUGUGGAGGUGUGUGGUGGUGUGUGGAGGUGUGUAGUGGUGUGUGGAGGUGGUGUAGUGGUGUGUGGAGGUGUGUAGUGGGGUGUGGAGGUGGUGUAGUGGGGUGUGGAGGCGUGUGGAGGUGGUGUAGUGGUGUGUGGAGGUGUGUGGUGGUGUGUGGAGGUGUGUAGUGGUGUGUGGAGGUGGUGUAGUGGUGUGUGGAGGUGUGUAGUGGUGU
ensembl:lncRNA